rnacentral:misc_RNA from 1 species
GAUGAAGAACGUAGUGAAAUGCGAUAAGUAAUGUGAAUUGCAGAAUUCAGUGAAUCAUCGAAUCUUUGAACGCACAUUGCGCCCGCCAGCAUUCUGGCGGUCAUGCCUGUUCGAGCGUCAUUUCAACCCUCGAGCCCCCCCGGGGGCCUCGGUGUUGGGGGACGGCACACCAGCCGCCCCCGAAAUGCAGUGGCGACCCCGCCGCAGCCUCCCCUGCGUAGUAGCACACACCUCGCACCGGAGCGCGGAGGCGGUCACGCCGUAAAACGCCCAACUUUCUUAGAGUUGACCUCGGAUCAGGUAGGAAUACCCGCUGAACUUAAGCAUAUCAAUAAGCGGAGGA